GGGGGUACAUUAAGCCAUAAGUGAAACUUGACUUAGUUAAAGCUAAGAGGGUCGGUAAAACUCGUGCCAGCCACCGCGGUUAUACGAGAGACCCAAGUUGUUAGACAUCGGCGUAAAGAGUGGUUAAGAUUUAUCCAGGACUAAAGCCGAACGCCCUCAGAGCCGUUAUACGCACCCGAAGGUAAGAAGCCCAAUCACGAAAGUGGCUUUAUACAAUCCGAAUCCACGAAAGCUAUGACACAAACUGGGAUUAGAUACCCCACUAUGCCUAGCCAUAAACAUUGAUAGUAAACUACGCCCACUAUCCGCCCGGGGACUACGAGCACCAGCUUGAAACCCAAAGGACUUGGCGGUGCUUUAGAUCCACCUAGAGGAGCCUGUUCUAGAACCGAUUACCCCCGUUCAACCUCACCUUUCCUUGUUUUCCCCGCCUAUAUACCACCGUCGUCAGCUUACCCUGUGAAGGACUUAUAGUAAGCAAGAUUGGCAUAGCCCAAAACGUCAGGUCGAGUUA
rnacentral:rRNA from 1 species